UUCUUCGAAGUGCAUUUGAAGUAUACUGGCCUGCUUCGUCUGGCCCAAACGUUCCAAUUUAUCAGAGAUUUAAAAAGAAGUGGGAUGAAAUUGACCAAUCAAACUUUACGGCUGGUAUUUGUGACAAAAAAGUUUUGGAAGUAAUAACACCAAUCAAAGAUGAGAUUUUGAAAUUCGUUAAUAAUCAAAUAGAAAUGGAUCAUUGUCGAGACGAUUACCGUGAACUUCUGGAAUUAUCAUUAAUAUUUUUGGGUACUACUACCACAAAUAUUACAUUUAAGCAUCCUGGAGCGGUCCAUCAUGCAAGGUGGAUGGCUAAAGCAAUAUAUAGUUUAAAAAUUUUUUUAUUCAGAAAUGAAUUUCAUCUUACUAAAUCGGAAAUAGAUGGAUUACGAGAACUUUGUUUAUUUAUCAUAAUAUUCUAUUUAAAAGCUUGGUUCACUGCGCCGUGUGCUAUAACAGCACCUAAUAAUGAUUUAACUUUGAUUAAAGAAUUAAUUUCAUAUGAAAGAUUUAAUAAUAGUCUUUCACAGACAUGCUCACAAAAAUUAGCCGAUCACUUGUGGUAUUUAAACAACGAGCUGUCUGUUUUAUCUCUCUUUGAUAAAAAUGUUUCAGUUGGAACAAAAA